rnacentral:sRNA from 1 species
GUAUACAAUUACCGAAAUACCCCUGGUUGAACCUGGCAAUGUUUCUAAUAAGUGUUUCUGGUGUCUGCCUUGUCAUGCUGACGUCGUGCGCCGAGGAAUGUGCCCGGAUUCCCAAAGUCCUGAACGAUGUCAUGUUCCCGUUUCCGCUUCCGUGAAGCGGCAAACACGAGAGAGCGGCUGCUGUGGCAGCAGCCGCAUAAUUGCUACUUGAUCCUCUACCGGGGAAGACCCCAGCAAGACCCAUACGCAUAGCGCGUUUGGCGAGUGUUCUCUCACGUUUGUGAGCGUUUUGGUGACCACCUAGCGCUUGAGAGCUAUAGAACUUCCUUUGGCAGUAGUUACAAGAGAAGACUCUCUUUGAUACAGAUGGUUGUUGUUGCUGCUGCUGCUCCGGGUUACUACUCUCACUCG